UACGUAGGGGGCUAGCGUUGUCCGGAAUCAUUGGGCGUAAAGAGCGCGUAGGCGGCUAGAUAAGUCCGGUGUGAAAGUCACAGGCUCAACCUGGAGACGCCACCCGAUACUGUCGUGACUAGAGUCCAGUAGGGGAGCGUGGAAUUCCUGGUGUAGCGGUGAAAUGCGCAGAUAUCAGGAGGAACACCGAUGGCGAAGGCAGCUCGCUGGGACGGUACUGACGCUGAGGCGCGAAAGCGUGGGGAGCAAACAGG
rnacentral:rRNA from 1 species